GAAACUUCUGGGACCUUACAUUUUCUGGCACCCAACGUGAGGCUCGAGGGCAUCGUUCCUUCGAGGUAGCUGCAUUCAGCUCCUCACAAGCUGAACUUUUUUGUAGUUCAGUGGCUUCACUAUGGCAGAUGGAAGAAACCAGCUGAGACCAGUAGCAAAGUCAAGAGUGCUUUCGGCAAAUUUCACCCGGUGACCUCGACCUGGUCAUUUGCUGGCAGAUUCUGAUUCCAGCCAAACCUGAAUGUGUUAAAGAGGCUUGCACUGAGCUCUUCUAGAAAAAGUCUAAUUGCAGUACAAAUGUGAGUGUGUGUGUGAGAUGCCCCGAAGCUCAUAAGGAGUGAUAAGGCGAAGUGAUCCUGAAACCUGUGAAUGCCUGUGUGUUGAGCUCCACAGAGAGAAUCCCUUUCAUAUAAAGAAACAGUGGACCCUUUUGUUUUCUAAGGAGGGUAGCAUGUCAGAUCCCUAAAAGUGAUACUGCCAUUCAAGUGAAGGAAGUGGGGACUUGGAUUCGAUUUACUAGCAUGGCCUGUGUCAUCAGAUAUUUUACAACCUAUAUCCUGGCGCCAAGGAAGCCUGAUAUUCCCUUUACCUGCAGGAAUUUAUAUGAUAGCCAUGUGGGUUGUCUCACUUUAAAGGGAAGUGGUGGGAAUGCAUGUUUGUUCGGGUUCUCAAAGGAAAUAGUAAAGAAAACAUCUUCACACUUGUGUAUUGGCUGAAAUCUGCAUUCUGACCUAAAGGGAGGGGUCUCUACCACUUUAAUCCUACUGCUUUGCCUAAGGGCAUUCAGAUUGUGCUUUAGCUGGAUGGUUUUCACUUCUGCUUAAUAAAAGAAUCCUUUUGAACAACUACGUUUCAAGAGUUCGUACUUUCUUAAGUUGGAAGGAGAGGCGAUCCUUACAAUUCAACUUCUACAUAUCCCCUGCUCUCUUGCAACUGUCAACAUCCCACUCAUUUGUUUGAGUUUCAUUCUUUUUUUAUAACUGAUUUUGUGCAGUGAUGGGUU